rnacentral:tRNA from 1 species
GGUCCGCUGGCUCAAUGGCAGAGCGUCUGACUACGGUCUGGGUCUUGAGAAAGGCUCUCUUCUCGAGAUUAAACCGUGCAAUCAGGAGGUUCCAGGUUCGACCCCUGGGUGGAUCG